UCUGUCGAAGCCGAAGUUUGGUUUCAGUUGCUGUUUGGAGAUUCUAUCGCCAUCAUGUCACAGGAAGUUGAAGAAAUGGAAACUGAAAGCUCUGUGAGUAACAGAAUAACUUACAGUAUUCAUUCAUGAUUAACAUAUAAUAAAAUAUAACCUAUAGGCUUCCAGUUUAACCCAGUUGGAUUUGGAUCAAUUAAGAAAGUGGGAUUUAAUUUACCUCUACCUUGUUUACUAGCUAAUGUAGGUAUUAUUAUUAUUAUUAUUAUUAUUAUUAUUAUUAUUAUUAUACACAACUUAGCAUUGUGUGUUAUAGAUCCUACAACCCACAUUGUAGGUUCUAUGACAAAUACCUAAAUGUUUAGGUCACAAGCACUUGACAGCUAAUGUUGUCUGAUUUAAAGCAACUUUAAACAUUCCAGUUUAAAUACAGCAUAUCAAAAAGAACUAGAUCACACUAAUACCAAUCACAGAGAAAAUCAUGAUAGACAUUUUAAUCACAAAAAGUGAUGAGGUUUACAAUACAAGAGCUUUACAAACAUACUGUAUAAAGUUAUUUAGGCAGAAAUUUUAAUUAGACAAUAAGAUCUUUGUUGGUACAAUGAAAACAUGUUGAUAAAAACAAAGGGUGUCUGAAUUACACUCUUAAUAUAGGUACACAAUUAAAAAACAUUACAUUUUCACAACCAAAUAAAUCUCUCGUAACUUUGAGCUCCCUUUAAAAAUCAAAAUAGGUUUAAUAUAUACUGACAAAGGUUAUUGUUGGUUUGUGGCAUAUAAGAAUAAAUUAUUAUGGCUAUUAUUCAUAUUAUUGAUAUUAAUAUUAGGAACUACAUCAGGCCACUCCUUCUCCCCAUCCUUCACACAGUGAUGAUCCUCAGUUAAUGGACAUUUCUAACGAUCAGGACUAUACAGCAGGCAUUGGAGGUCAAGACUCUAGCCCUCCUUGGGAUGACAUGAAGAACACAACGGGUCAAACACACUUACAGCCAGAGGGUAUCAGUGGCAGUGUAGUCACUAAACAACCUCCAAGAAUCAAUGGACCAGACCUUCACAUGAUGGGACAUGAUAAAAAGAACUUACAGGCAAGCAGUCGUAAAGGUCAAGACUCUGGAUCACCUCUGGAUAAACAGGAGCAUCAAGACAUCACACAAGACACAACGGACAUUUUUAAAAAUGGUGGUGUAAAAACCAAACCAGUGGAUACUGCUACAUUUAAAAUCAAAGUGGACUGGACAGAAUCGUUUCCAGAGAAGUGGGGAAAACAGUUAGAGAUGGCCCUUCAGAGCUGGUUUAUCAAACAGAUAAAACAAGUAAAAGUAUCUGUCAUCAGCAUUAAACUCAUGGAGGAUCAAUCAUGGGCAGAGGUGGAGAUAGAACCAUCAGCAGCUCUAGAAACUAUACAAAGGCACAGGUCUGUAUCUUUGGAUUUUAAAAAUGAAAAUAAGAAAGUGACCGGACAGAUUCAUCUGGAUGAUUCUGUGACUGUAUCACGAAACACCUCCAAGUCGGACAAGAACAGAAUUUCAUCAUCAGAGGUAUUAUGUUUACUUUUUUAGGUUCUGAUGGCUGAGAGAAAUAGGGUAGGAUCUAGAAAAUUAUUUUACCCCCUGCAGUCACUAAUUUAAUCCAUUAAAACUAAUCUUUGAACAAAAUUGAACAUAUUUCUUCUGUAUUUGCCUCUUUAAAUGCAUAUUGCUCUCCAUUCCCUGUCUUCCUGAAGCCACUGGGUGCCGGUGAGCCUGGGUGCGAGGUCCCUUUCAAUGCUGCUUGCAGCUUUAAUUAUUAUUAAGAAUUAUUAGUAUUAGUAUUAGUAUUAUUUCCCCAGUUUUAAUAUAGCUGUUAGCUGUCUUUAUUAUAUUGGCUGAAUGCACAUGAUGGCAAACAAAAUCAGUGAUGAGAAUUUUAAAUAUAGUUGAUAUUUUGGUGGCCAUAAUUGCUUUUAUGAAAUGUCACAAAUCUAAAUUAAUAUUGUGUGUUAAUGCAAUAGGCUUGCUUCAUGUGUGUAAGGACAGUUUAUAGAAAAAAAACAUGUUUUCUCGCCAUUAUUUUGGCAUUAUUUAUAUCAUCAAAUUGUACUGCUGCUGCUGCUGAAAAACAGUCGAGGACAUUCCGCUUACAUAUAUAUUUUGUACACUGGGAUACAAAAUACUUAGGUGGCAGAUGAGGAUGGCAAUGCUUUUUUCUUAGGGUCACAAACCAUGUCACCCCAGUAGAUUACUCCCUGGAGAGAACUCGAAAUAAGCAAAAACUAUGGCCUUACCUGCCAGAGUACACACUUAUCUUUUUUAAGCUCUUCCUAUUCAGCCAUUUAGUAUAUUAGUCAUAAUGGUAACAUCAGAUUUAUGACUUAUGUAACAAUAAUUUGGCAUUUUAGUUCACUUAUGUUAAAUAUUUCUGUGGGCAACCAAUCCUUAAAUGAAAUCCUAUGAAAUGUUCCUAGAUUAAGAAUGCCACGCAUGUGACUUAUGCAGCAUCAGAUGACACAAUCAAUGGUGAAGAUGUUCCAGCUAAUAUUGCUCCAAAUGAAGCUG
rnacentral:lncRNA from 1 species